CAUCGAAAUGACGGUUUUGCCCUCAUUCUAAAUUGUUUUACGGCUCUGCCAUCGUUCUGCCAAACGCUACCGUCGGUUUCUUCUUUCUUCUACAGCCGUAUAACCGUAUAACCACGAUUGCUCUCUCAAUUUGGAUCUCCGCCGUGAAUCCGACUCUCAGCUCUCCCAUAUCAAUAUCGUCGACGAACAGAAAGUGAUAGAGAUAGAUUGAGAGAGAGAGAGAGACGGAGGUUUUCUGUGUCUUUUGGGUCUUCUCACUCUUCUGCGAGAGAGAGAGAGAGGAAGUGAAGGCUAAUUCCAGGGAAAGGAAGAACAGGAAACAGGAAGUGGAAGAAGAAUUUGAUACACCAAGUUCAUGCUGGGAAUAUGUGAGAAUUGAAUUUCAGAAUUUGCUUUUUUUUUUUUCUCUGUUUGAUGAAAGCUCUAUGGGUUUUGAAGAAGAAAGAAGAACAAGAAUAUAGGAGCUUGAAAUUCUUCACUGAUUGGUAAGCUUUGGCAUCAUCUGUAUUUGAAGUUUGAUCUUGUGUAGCUCAUAAUUGUUGAAUCGAAUCGUAUAUCCCAGUUUCAACUGUACCAAUGAUAGCACAGUGAAACAAAUGUUCAAUUGAUAGGUCAUGCAUCGAUCUUGGGGCAAUCGAUGUGGAAAAUAUUCUGUGUUUCUUCCUACUACUAAAAUAUGCUUUUGGAUACAUGUUCAGGUGCAUCAAUACGUGAUGGAAGAGAAAUCCUUUUAAAGGAAGCUUGCUGAUCAGUAUACUGUCAUUGCAGAUUUGUAGGAGACUAUUUUGAGCUACAAAUUAAGUGCAAUCACAACAGUGAAGUGGUCUGCUCAUUAUUUUCUUUUAGUAGUAAUGAAAGUAUGAUAUGUAAGUAUAAAUAUUGACGUGAUACAAUGAAAUUCAAGAGACUCAACUAUAACAUACAAAUUUGAGACAAAAGAAAACCCGCAGCAUCGCGCGGGAGAAUAAUCUAGUUGUGUUACUAUUA